ensembl:misc_RNA Metazoa_SRP Metazoan signal recognition particle RNA
GCUGGGCGUGGUGGUGCACGCCUGUAAUCCCAGCUACUUGGGAGGCUGAGGCGGGAGAAUCAUUUGAACUCGGGAGGCGGAGGUUGCAGUGAGCCGAGAUUGCGCCACUGCACUCCAGCCUGGGCUACAGAGUGAGACCCUGUCUCAA